GCUUCAGUGAACUAAAGUGGUAAAGAGCAGAGCACAUAACCCAAAGGUUGCGGGUUCGAUUCCCCACUGGGGCA